rnacentral:rRNA from 1 species
GAUGAACGCUGGCGGCGUGCCUAAUACAUGCAAGUCGAGCGAACAGACGAGGAGCUUGCUCCUCUGACGUUAGCGGCGGACGGGUGAGUAACACGUGGAUAACCUACCUAUAAGACUGGGAUAACUUCGGGAAACCGGAGCUAAUACCGGAUAAUAUAUUGAACCGCAUGGUUCAAUAGUGAAAGACGGUUUUGCUGUCACUUAUAGAUGGAUCCGCGCCGCAUUAGCUAGUUGGUAAGGUAACGGCUUACCAAGGCAACGAUGCGUAGCCGACCUGAGAGGGUGAUCGGCCACACUGGAACUGAGACACGGUCCAGACUCCUACGGGAGGCAGCAGUAGGGAAUCUUCCGCAAUGGGGGAGAGCCUGACGGAGCAACGCCGCGUGAGUGAUGAAGGUCUUCGGAUCGGAAAACUCUGUUAUUAGGGGAGAACAAAUGUGUAAGUAACUAUGCACGUAUUGACGGUACCUGAUCAGAAAGCCACGGCUAACUACGUG